rnacentral:rRNA from 1 species
GGUCUGGCUGGGCGGUCCGCCGAAUCGGUGAGUACUGCUUCAGCUGGACCUUUCCUUCUGGGGAACCGGUGUGCUCUUUACUGGGCGUGCCGGGGAGCCAGGACAUUUACCUUGAAAAAAUUAGAGUGUUCAAAGCAGGCAUUUGCUCGAAUACAUUAGCAUGGAAUAAUAGAAUAGGAC